CUCCUCCGCUGACUUUGUCCGUUUCCCUUCCCUAUUUCGAGCAGCGAGAUCUUGGAGGCAGAGAGGGGAGAGCCAUGGCGAUUUUGGCUGGUUAGCUUUGUCGUUGAUCUCUGGAGAGCGAGCCGGUGGUUAGGCGUCCGGUCCUCCUCCCCCCUCCCCCUGUUGCUUCUCCUUCAAGCGCGUUGAGGCAGAGGAGAAGUUGACGCAUGGUGAUUCAGCGGCGGCGUCUUAUCUGCUUCCCUUGAUUUGGUGAUGCUCCUCCUUUUGUUGUGGUGUUCUCCGAGCCUUGUGCGUCCCUUCUUCCCACAACGAGGUUGCAAGUCUCUUGCUCUUGACUCUACAAAGAAAGCAUCAAAUGAUUCGUCAGUUGGUAAAUCUGCUGGCAUGAUUGUGGUUUUCUCCAAUGUAGACAUUCGAAAUCUUAGGAUCAAAUAUGUGAAUGACAUGUUUUUCAGCCCCUUGAACAGCUGCGACAAAUCUUUUGUCACUGCUUUCUUUGGAGGCAAUGCCAAGUGAGGUUCAGCAUGUGCACAGUCCUAGCUCAGUUGGUGGAUGAGUUCUCUUUUUGAGUAGCAUGUAACAUAGAACCACUAGUGCAAAUCAUUUGGAUCAUUGGUGGAUUUACAAGGUCUUUUUAGUGGAUUUAAAGUGGCAUCUUUAAUGCAUCUUGCACUGUAAUUCUUAGUGGUUAAUCUUAGCAGUUUUUUCAGUGCAAACCAUUUGGAUUGUUGGUAGAUUUACAGUGUCAUUUUAGUGGAUUUUACAGUGUCAUUUUAAUGCAUCUUACACUGUAAUUCUUAGCGGGCAUGAUAAAAAUUAUUGUCGAUUUUAGUGGAUUUUACACCAAAUUUCUUGGUGGUAAUAUUAUUGUAAUUAUACUUCUUUGUCAAUGUAAAUUUUAGGUGACA